rnacentral:rRNA from 1 species
CGGGCCCGCUCAGCGGCUACGGAGAUCUCAGAAGGGCAGCUCGUCGAUGGCAAGCUGGAGUGCCUCUACCAUGGCUGGCAGUUCGACGGCCAGUGCAAGUGCGUCAAGAUCCCACAGCUGCCUGAGGGGGCCAAGAUCCCGCGGAAAGCGUGCGCGCGCAACUAUGAGGUGCGGGACUCGCAGGGGAUGGUGUGGGUGUGGAUGUCGCCGGCGAGCCCGCCGGACGCGAAGAAGCUGCCGUGGUUCGAGCCGUACGCGCGGGCGGGGUUCACGGACCUGUCUACGGUGCACGAGCUCCCCUACGACCACUCCAUCCUGCUGGAGAACCUCAUGGACCCGGCGCACGUGCCCAUCUCGCACGACCGCACCGACUGGACGGCCAAGCGGGAGGACGCGCAGCCGCUGGCCUUCGAGGUCGCCGAGCGCACCGCCCGGGGCUUCGCCGGCCACUGGUGGCGCGAGCGCGCGCCACACCUCCGCAACCUGCUCCGCUUCGAGGCGCCCUGCGUGCUCACCAACACGCUCGAGUUCGUGGACAAGGACGGCAGGAAGCAGUGCUUCUCGGCGCAGUUCCUGUGCCGGUCGGCAGGGCAGGGGAAGUCGAUGCUGCUCGUCCGGUUCGGGUCCACAGCGAGGUCGCCGCUGCUGAGGGUGCUGCCGAGCUGGUACUUCCAGCAGAACGCGUGCAAGGUGUUCGAGCAGGACAUGGGGUUCCUGUCGUCGCAGAACGAGGUGCUGCUCCUGGAGAAGGUGCCCACCAAGGAGCUCUACCUCAACCUCCGCUCCUCGGACACCUGGGUGGCCGAGUACCGGCGGUGGAUGGACAGGGCCGGCCACGGCAUGCCCUACUACUUCGGCCACAACACCAUCUCGCCGCCGCCCGUGCCGGCCGUCGUGGAGCAGGCGCCGGCAGGGGCCGCCGCCGGGAUCUCCGCGUCGUUCCCGGUCUAGGGCGGCUUCGGCACGCAGCACGCGCCCAACCCGACCAGCAGGUACUUCCGGCACGUCGUGCACUGCAAGGGGUGCAGGGACAGUGUCAAUAGGUACACCGCCCUGAAGAAGGCCUUCGUCGUGCUCGCUGCGGUGCCGGCCGCCGCGGACGUCUUGGCGGCCAUGGCUGACAAGCAAGGGCCGUCCUGCCGAUUUUGCUAA